AGAAAGAUGUUCCAAUAGAACAGCUGCUAACAAAGUUCUCUUCUAUAGAUAGCCCUGUACUUCCUUGUUUAUGUUAUACUCCACUGGAUGCUUGCUGAAUGUUAAAGUUGGACCAAAUAUUUCAUGUAAAGCACCAUACAUUGCAGAGGGUUGACUUCCAGAUUUUUGGAAUAUCUUAAAAUGGAGAUCUCUCGGUGAGUGUCCAGUAGCGAUGAACUGAAUCUGCCACUAGAUGUCACCGAAUUUUCAAACAAAUGGCUUUAAAGAACAUUUCAGUGCAAGUUGGCUUGAACCCAAGGCAUUUGUGCUGUUUUCCCUGGCAUCCACAGGAAUUAUCUGGGGUCUAAUGAUCACUUGUCUGAGAAAGCUUGCAAGAAGACUUCAUGGAUUUUGUGGAAAAGGUUUGAAAGAUGGAAAGAAAGUGAAACCACUGAAAUACCGUUGUCCCAACCUGUCUUCUGCUUAGGUAAGAUGCCUGGGCUUUUCCUAUGUCACCUUUGGAUUAUGGAAAUCUUGGGUC
rnacentral:lncRNA from 1 species